rnacentral:rRNA from 1 species
CCUACGGGAGGCAGCAGUGGGGAAUAUUGGACAAUGGGCGAAAGCCUGAUCCAGCCAUGCCGCGUGUGUGAAGAAGGUCUUCGGAUUGUAAAGCACUUUAAGUUGGGAGGAAGGGUUGUAGAUUAAUACUCUGCAAUUUUGACGUUACCGACAGAAUAAGCACCGGCUAACUCUGUGCCAGCAGCCGCGGUAAUACAGAGGGUGCAAGCGUUAAUCGGAAUUACUGGGCGUAAAGCGCGCGUAGGUGGUUUGUUAAGUUGGAUGUGAAAUCCCCGGGCUCAACCUGGGAACUGCAUCCAAAACUGGCAAGCUAGAGUAUGGUAGAGGGUGGUGGAAUUUCCUGUGUAGCGGUGAAAUGCGUAGAUAUAGGAAGGAACACCAGUGGCGAAGGCGACCACCUGGACUGAUACUGACACUGAGGUGCGAAAGCGUGGGGAGCAAACAGGAUUAGAUACCCUGGUAGUCCACGCCGUAAACGAUGUCAACUAGCCGUUAGGGAGCCUUGAGCUCUUAGUGGCGCAGCGUACGACGAUUAAGUUAGUACCGCCGUCGGGUAAGGUACGGGUCCGGCGAACGGUUAAACGUUAAACGUUAAGUAAGUUAGUUAGGCGGCGAGAGAGCGACGACGACGACGACGGAGGGAGGAGG